rnacentral:lncRNA from 1 species
GCGGGCACAGUAAUAUAUAGCUGUGUCUGCAGCUGUCACAGAUCUCAGCUCCAGGUCGUAUGUAUUUCUGGAGGCAUCGGCAGUCACAGUGAUUCGACCUUGGAGAUAUGGGCUGUAGAAUAAUCUCCAUUUGCUGCUAGACCAGUCGAUCUGGCCCAUCCAUUCCAGGCCUUUUCCGGGAGCCUGUCGGACCCAUUCCCAGAAAUUAUUUUUGACAGAAUCCCCAGAAAUGACCCAUUCCCAGAAAUUAUUUUUGACAGUGCAGGUUAGUCUCAGGGACCCUCCAGGAUUCACAAUCCUUGGUCCAGAUUCCAUAAGUUGGACACUGCAGUGGACAUCUAAGGACAACAACAAGACUUUCAUUACCAUGCAAUUUGUGCAUCUGUAAUAUUUGAUUUUUAAAAAAAUGUUUAUCUGGAAGAUACUCACACAGCGGCACUGCUAACAAAGACAGUAAAAGAAAGGGGGCCUUCAUUGUUUGCAGAGAGAAACUCCUCUCUCUGGAUUAACAACUAAUUUGGUCCAGCUGAGGAUCUGAAGACUUGGUGUGGGUAGAGCUAUUUAAAUAGAAAGCUUUUUAGAAAGGGAUUUGCAUCAACUUUGCAUCUAGUGGUGGGAAUCAGAUAAAGAGAGAUGCUCUAAACUGUGAAUAUGCUCAGAGCACUGCCUCCACCAGUGGGAAGUGGGUCCAUCAUUUAAAGAAGUCAUCUGGGCCACACACACCCUUUUAUGGGUCCCUUGCUUUCCCACUAUCAGAAAGCAGCAGGAGGAGAAAUUUUUACAAGUUCUCAUCUUGGCUGGGGCCACACUCUGCCAAUGUGAACCAUCCUGUGCUUUUCGGAUGAGCAGUGGUGUAGAAAUUUGAUAAUAUUAGUUAUCUAGGAGAGCUCUGGAAACAGAUGGAAAGAUUAGCAGGAUUUUAAUCCCGCUUGUGAUGUAACAAAUACCAUGAAUAAUUUGGAUUGAAUUAAAAUAUAGUGUAUGGAAUAACAUGAAUAUUUAAAUGUAGAAAUAGGACCCAUCGAGAGUGUGGGGGGAAGUUGUGAGAUUCAGAGUAAUCUCUACGUAUGGAUACGUAUUUGGAUUGUUCUAAUUUUAUAUUGGUAAAAUCAUAUAAAAAUGAGUUUGAAAAAGAAAAGAAAAGAGAGAUUAUCUAAACUGAGAAUAUGCUCAAAGCACUGCUGAGCCUGUUCCUUCAUUUAAAGAAGCCCUCCCAGCGACACACACCCUUUUAUGGGUUCCUUACUUUCUCACCACCAGAAAUAAGCAGGAAGAGGAAUUUUUACAAGCCCUUAUCUUGGCUGGGGCCAUCCUCUGCCAUCGUGAGCCAUCUUGUGAUUUUUGGAUGAGAGGCAGUGUAGAAAUUUGAUAUUAGAUUUAAAAAUAAAUAAGUGAAAGUCAGAGGCGUAGGAAGGUCAGGUGGUACCCGGUGCGAAAAAUUUCUUGUCACCCCCCCCACAUUGAUCUCCCCCUCCCUGCAAAAAUGGUUUUAUGUUAUUUCAUAUUUUCUUACAAAGGAAUAAUAAGAAGUAAUAAUAAUGAUAAACUUUUAUUUUUAUCCUGCCCUCCACGGCUGAAGUCGGGCUCAGGGCGGCUAACAUAAGUUACAGAACAUUGGUAUAAAAUCAAACAAUAAUUAAAUUACCUCCUGAAAACAUGUCAAAAUUAAAUUAAAGUCUACUUACCUGGCUUUCCAAAGGGUUAGGGUUGGGAACAGUAAGUGCUCCACUGAAUUGAAAUUUCAGCCUUCACGACAUAGGAAAAUGGCCAGGUAAACAGCUAUUUUCAUGGAGGAGAGUCAAGAUAUUAAUUUGACCCUCAUUUAUAGCUAUACAAUCCCUAGUGUAGUAAGAUAAGACCUUUGGAGCAGGCAUUUUUUUAAAAAAAGUUUUUUUAUGAACCGCCCUAGUAGGGCAGUAAUUGUUCCUUGAUCAUUGGUCACCCCCCUCCAUGAUGCAACCUGGGGCGGCCCCCCCUUCCUACGCCCCUGGUAAAAGUGACCCUGAACAUUCCAUUUUGAACAGUAAGCAUGAUGCCUCAUUUGUGUCAGCAAAAUCAGUACAAUUUAUCUUGAAUUUAUCUUCCUUCUCCAAACUUCUUCAUUUAGUUAUUUGUGGCUGCAGCUGAACCAGUCCAGACACCUGGCAAAGGAAGGUUUUUGGCUGGCUUCAGAUUCACUUCCUUUCACUGUGUCUCUCUUGCACAGUAAUAUAGAGCCGUGUCCACGGAUUUCAGGUUGUUCAUUUGCAGAUACAGCAUGUUUGAAGGGUUGUUUCUGGAGAUGGUGAAGCGCCCUUUCACUGAGUCUACAUAAUGUUGCUGACUACCAUCAGACCAGAUUCUUGCAACCCAUUCCAGUCCCGUCCCAGGAGCCUGUUGCACCCAGUUCAUGGGAUCGCUGCUGAAGGUGAAUCCAGAAGCUCGACAGGAGAGACGGAGGGACUCUCCAGGUCUUUUGACAUCCCCUCCAGACUCUACCAGCUGGACUGCUGAUUGGACACCUAGAAAAGGAGGAAAGCCAUAUUUAAAGGAUCUGCUAAAUAUGAAGCCCUAUAUUAUACUAGUCAUCUUUGUUUAAAGCUGGAAUAAAAUUACCUCCCAAAAUUGCUGAAACAAAAAGAAACUGAAGCCAAAGUGUCAUGUUUAUCUCCCAAUUUUGUUCUGAGAGGAACUGACUGGAAAGUGGUUCAGCAGUUCUACCUCUGGGUGUGGGCUGGGCAGAGAGUGUGCUGCUGCUUUAAAGAGGAAGGUGCCGCUGCAUUUACAUGCAGCUCAGGAUAAAAGAGUAACACAGGUCUUUGACGGAGCAGAUCUGUUUAGCCUUAUACAAAACAUAUGACUUGCUGAUCCUUCAAUUGUUUUGUUUUCCAGUCAAGAAUUUACAAAAGCCCUCCUGUUUCCUGAUUUGAUCCCAGAAUGUCCCGCUUUUCCUUAGGAUUCAAACAAAAAAGGAAUUGGUCCCUGGCACCCGCCACACCUGCUGUCUUUAAGGGAAUCCUGAUACAGCUUCUCAACGUCCCCCAUCAGAUCAACAUUUAUUUAUUUAACCCGUAUUUAAUUUUAAAUUUGUUUUAAAAAUAAACGCUGUAAAUAAAGCUUUUGGACCACAUUUUUGUUUUGGGGUUUUUGUUUUUAUUUCAAUACAAAAGUGAGCUUUUAUUCAUCCAAAGGCUUCCAUGUGCCCAAUAUUAAUAAUAAUCUCAAUAAGACACAAAUGAUGAAUGACGGAAAGAGCAAAACUUAACACACCAGAAAUUAGCAGUGUGGGCUUUACUAUGUUUGUGGGAACAGACUUAGGCCGAGAUAGCUUGGUUCCACCUCUCGCUGUGUGCUACAGACAAGACUAGCCUUGCUGUGUGAUCACAGCAUGUGGCUGUCAGAUUAGUCAGUAAAUGGGAGGGUUUGUAUAACCCCAUUGAUUGAACUCACCUGCCUGUGCAUUGUGCCUUGGUUAAUUGGUUCAGGUUGUUGGAAUUGCAGAUACUAUUCUUUGAUAUAUUUUAAUGAAUCUCAUCCGUUUACUCUUAAAACAGUUUGACUCAAUACUUCUUUCCAGCCUUCAGAUUCACUUCCUCUCACUGUGUCUCCUGCACAGUAAUAAAGAGCCGUGUCCUCGGGUUUCAGGUUGUUCAUUUGCAGAUACAACAUGUUUGAUGGGUUGUUCCUGGAGAUGGUGAAACGCCCUUUCAUAGAGCUGGCAUAGUAUACUUCUCCUCUAUGUUGGUGUAUCCAUGCAACCCAUUCCAGUCCCUUCCCAGUAGCCUGUCUCACCCAGUGCAUGAAGUAGUUGCUGAAGGUAAAGCCAGAGCCUUGGCAUGAAAGACAGAGGGACUCCCCAGGCCUUUUGAUGUCCCCUCCAAAUUCCUGCAGUCGAACUGCUGAUUGAAAGCCUGUAAAGAAAGCAAUAUUAUAAAGCUUCCUGAACAUCAAUCAGCAAACUGUACAUGUCUCCUUACAUGCCAAAGAAAUAACAACACAACAAUAACUUCUGAAUAUUGCCAAAAAGCAAAUUAAUUGAAGUAAACGCAUCGUUCCCUGGUUGUUUUGGGAAAGGUUGCCUUGAAAGUGAUCCAAAUCACACAGGGGUUGCUGGUGUGGAUGGAGCUGGGGCAAAAGAGGGCUUGACUCCUUUAAACAGGAAGCUGUCCCUCCAUUUACAUACAGCUCAGGAUAAAAAGAGCAACACGUUGACAAUUUUGGUUCUGGUUUUGGUCAUACUGAUUUUUGCAGAGGUGGAUUGCAGGCAGCACAACUGGGUUUGCUGCACUUGGAGCUCAGCCUAGGGGUGCCACAGGAUGUACCACCUAUGAUAUAGUGAAUUGAGCAUAAUGGAAGGUGAGAGGUGAGGGCUGCCAAAUUUUGGCCUUACCCAGGGCCCCACUGAAAUUUGAAAGACAACAGUCUUCCCCUGAUUUUUGCACUUAUUUUAUCAUCAGGGUAUGGUGAUCUCAUCAAUUGUGCAUGUAUCCUUUAUCCAUAUUCUCAAAUAAAUUUCAUUGUACCUGGGUCAGUCUGCUAUAAAGUAUUGCUUAACUUAGAAGAAGAUCUAUGGUGUGACUCUUUAUACGUAACUUCUUUGCAUGUGAUUCAUAAAAAAGAUGUGUGUAUAUGUGCUUGUAUCAGUCUCUGUCUUAUGAACUCUCAAUGCCUUCAUGCCCUGUUUCACAAUUAGGGGUCUGGGGACCCCGGGGGUCCAUGGAAUGCACCUAGAACAGUGAUGGCCAAACGUGGCCCUCCAGCUGUUUUGGGACUACAUCUCCCAUCAUCCCUAGCUAACAGGACCAGUGGUCAGAGAUGAUGGGAAUUGUAGUCCCAAAACAGCUGGAGGACCACGUUUGGCCAUCACUGACCUAGAGGGUCUGCAGCCCUAUCCCUUGCCUCUCCCCAACUCUUUUGUUUGGACAUAUUUUCAUGGUAACAGUGUUUUUUUCUAAAAAAAUGUUUAGGGGUACUCUCCUUUUCCUACUCCUAUUGAAAUACUGCCCCUCAAUGAGGCCAAACUGAGCUUCACAAAAUGUUUAGGGGCAUGCGUACCCAUGUAUUCCACCUGGAAAAAAAGCACUGAAUGGUAAUAUUAUAAUUUUUAUGGUCUAUUUUAGCACUGUGCGAUUUUCAAUAUAUUGGUCAAAAUCGGUUUUGAAAUCACACUGUGAUGAUGAUUUUGACCCAGCAAUAUGCAGCAAUAUAUUGCUCCUUGCACAAGGGAGAGCAGGGUAGUCAGUUUCAAGGCACUGCCAAUAUCACAGGAUGAUCUCACACAUCUGAUGUCAACAUGCCCAUGGUGUAUGCAGACAUCACAUGCCUGGGCACAUUUUUGCAAGGAGGGGUUGGGUCUGACCCAGGGGUGAAGUGGAGGAGGCACAGGCAAUGGCAGCAAUGUUGCCGCCCCUCUCCUACAGUGGCUUCUGCUCUGGCUGAGAGUGGUGGCAGCAGCGCUGCUGCGGUGGUGCUCCUCUCCUGUACUGGGAGAGGAGUCUGACCCAGGAGGAGGAGAGAAGGAGUAGGGGGUGUUACUGCCCCUUUCUGCGGCUUGGCAGUGCCGCCCAAGGAUGUUGCCCAGGCAGCGUUCUCACCCUGGGCUGCAUCCAGUGGGAUCCCUUUGCACACACCCCCCCUUGGGGCCCUGGUGCAAUAAUUGUGGGUGCCCGACCACUUCAUGGGGAAUAUUGUGGGGGCUACAGCACCCAGCACCCUGCCACGUGGCGCCUAUGCCUCACACCGAAGGAAAACAGGACAGCUGGUUGUGGAGUGUUGCCUUUCCCUCACUCUGAUGGAUAACAGGACAGCUGAUCACUCUCACUUCAAGGCACCAUGGCACUACCUUCUCCUGGCACUGAGGCAGAGCUGCUUUUCUCAGUCAGCAGCAGCAGCCACAGUGGGCGUGCAUCUUCGCUGGCUGCUGCAGCUGUAUGCCCAGUUGAUGGUGGCUUGAUGCAUCCCCAAUCCCCUUCCAUGAGUUGCCACUCAGAUGUAUCAGGCCUAUCCAUUCCUGUUCAUUUCCAGGAACCUGUCAGAUCCAUUCUGAGAAAACAUUAUUGACAAAAUCUCAAGUGAUAGUGCAGAUUAGUCUCAGAGACUCCCCAGUAUUCACAGUCUCUGGUCCAGAUUCCACAAGCUGGACAUUGGUGUGGACAUCUAAGGCCAACAAGAAUACAUCUAUUACAGUAUAAUGUUUACAGAGAUUUGUAUCUCCCUUUCUGCUCCUUUUGGCGUAUGUGCCACAGAGCUGGGAAGUAUGUAAUAAAAUAGAAAUUCUGCCUAGUGUAUACAUUGGGAAAUGAUGGUUGGGGUGGUAAUGGCAAUGUUUCCUUGGUUCUAAAUAGAAAGUUGUGAGAAUGUCACCCAGGGAAUCAAACUCUCAUGCAGUUGAGGCAGCUGAGGAAACAAUAGCCUAACAGCUGUAACCACAAAACAUCACACUAGGCUUUAUUUUAGACUUUAUUUCUGUUUUGGUUGAUGGUUUCUUAGGCUUUAAAUCAUUGCUGCCCCCUUGUGAGAAACAGAAUUAAUUUUAGGAGAUGAUCCUACAUUUCAUCCCAGUAACAGAUGCCUCCAACUUUUUGUACAGUUUCUCCUUUGGUUUUUCUCACUGUGGUUCUCGGGCACAGUAAUACAUAGCCGUGUCUGCAGCUGUCACAGAUCUCAGCUCCAGGUCGUAUGUAUUUCUGGAGGCAUCAGCAGUCAGGGUGAUUCGGCCUUGGAGAGAUGGGCUGUAGUAUAAUCUCCAGUUGCUGCUAUACCAGUCUAUCUGGCCCAUCCAUUCCAGUCCUUUUCCGGGAGCCUGUCGGACCCAUUCCCAGUAACUAUUCUUGACAGAAUCCCCAGUGACAGUGCAGGUUAGUCUCAGGGACCCUCCAGGAUUCACAAUCCUUGGUCCAGAUUCCACAAGUUGGACACUGCAGUGGACAU